UACGUAGGGCGCAAGCGUUGUCCGGAAUUAUUGGGCGUAAAGAGCUCGUAGGCGGCUUGUCACGUCGGAUGUGAAAGCCCGGGGCUUAACCCCGGGUCUGCAUUCGAUACGGGCUAGCUAGAGUGUGGUAGGGGAGAUCGGAAUUCCUGGUGUAGCGGUGAAAUGCGCAGAUAUCAGGAGGAACACCGAUGGCGAAGGCAGGUCUCUGGGCCACUACUGACGCUGAGAAGCGAAAGCAUGGGGAGCGAAACAGG
rnacentral:rRNA from 1 species